GUGCUCACUUAGGCAGCGCAUAGACUAAAAUUGGAAUGAUACAGAGAGUAGCAUGGCCCUUGUGCAAGGAUGACACGGAAAUUCAUGAAGAAAGUUCUUCUUUA
rnacentral:snRNA from 1 species